GUCCCAAGGCAGGGAGGAGGGGGAAGGGGGACCACCCAGAAUCACUUGACUUUACACAAGUGGAACCAGCUCAACAGCAAAACGUGCACUUCAGAGGAGCUUCUAUCUGGAAAGAAUGACUUUGAACAUCUUCAGAUGACCUCAGAAAGCUGUCCUCCCUCAGUCCUCAUCCUGUGGGGUCUGUUACGAAUAUUGUCAGCCCACCUCUUUGCCCCAUGGCAUUAUUCUUCUACGCACAUCUGA
rnacentral:lncRNA from 1 species